GGUUGAUGAUGCUAUACGACCCAUCCCGUAGGAGUGAUAACUGCUCAGACCUUAUGUGCUAAGGCUGGACGUGCCUAAGAGGAAGCGCUGUGCAAUGUACGCACAGCUAUGACAGAAAAUAAGAGGCUUUGAGAAAAACUAAGAAAAAAGAAGAGGAAGCUGAGAUACUUUCAUAGAGAGGGGAGCAAGAAAAAAAAUGAGAAAAAGAGAGAGA
rnacentral:lncRNA from 1 species